rnacentral:rRNA from 1 species
AUUGAACGCUGGCGGCAGGCCUAACACAUGCAAGUCGAGCGGAGCGGCGGACGGGUGAGUAAUGCCUAGGAAUCUGCCUGGUAGUGGGGGAUAACGUCCGGAAACGGGCGCUAAUACCGCAUACUAUCAGAUGAGCCUAGGUCGGAUUAGCUAGUUGGUGGGGUAAAGGCCUACCAAGGCGACGAUCCGUAACUGGUCUGAGCGGAUGACCAGCCACAGUGGAACUGAGACACGGUCCAGACUCCUACGGUAGGCAGCAGGGGGGAAUAUUGCACAAGGGGCGCAAGCCUGAUGCAGCCAGGCCGCGUGUAUGAAGAAGGCCUGCGGGUUGUAAAGUACUUUCAGCGAGUAGGCGUUACUCGCAGAAGAAGCACCGGCUAACUCCGUGCCAGCAGCCGCGGUAAUAC